GUCCACGCCGUAAACGAUGGAUACUCGAUGUAGGGAGGAAUCGACCCUCUUUGUGUCUAAGCUAACGCGUUAAGUAUCCCGCCUGGGGAGUACGGUCGCAAGAUUAAACUCAAAGGAAUAGACGGGACCCACACAAGCGGUGGAGCAUGUGGUUUAAUUCGACAAUAAACGGGGAACCUUACCAAGGCUUGACAUCUCCGGAACUUCGAAGAAAUUUGAAGGUGCCGUAAGGAACCGGAUGACAGGUGCUGCAUGGUCGUCGU
rnacentral:rRNA from 1 species